UGAAUAUGUACAAUAAAACUAUUUUUUUUUUUUUUUUUUUUUUUUAAAAAACUCUCAUUUUAAUUUUUUUUAUUUUAUUUUGUACAUAUAUAAAAAUGAGAGAUUUUUUCAAAAAAAAAAAAAAAAAAAAAAAUUGGUCAAUGGUAAAAAUUAGCCACAAUUAGUGUGUUAAAUUUUUUGAAAAAGAGUAAAAACAAAAAUAUAUUAUUGUAAAAAGAAAAAGAUAUCCAAUUUUAACAAAUAUAUAUGUAUAUAAAAAUUUUAACAACUUAGUUAAAAUAUGUUAAUAAUGUUGUAUUUUUAACUGGUUUAAUAGUACUUCCGCUUAUAUGUUAUACAUAUAUAUAUAUAUAAGAUCAUACACGCUCAUUCAUAUUUAGAGGCCAGACGUAAAUAAAAAAAAAAAAAAAAAAAUUAGCAUAAAAAAAAAAAAUUACUACAGACUAUAGAGAAAAAUACAAAGGGAUGAUAUGCAAAAAAAAAAAAAAUGAAUUUAUCAAUGGACUCAGAAAUUGAAAACAAUUUUUUUAUAAAAUCUUUUUUUGAAUCAUUAUCCAACUUUGUAAGAAAUGUUAAGAUCGAAAUAAAGGAUGUGUUUGAAUUACUUAAUUACCCAUGUGUUUAUCAAAACUAUAAAAAGAAAUUUAGUAUUAACGAAAAUGAAGAUUAUAAGAAUGUAUUAGAAACGCAUGUGAUUAGCAAAAAAGAUAAAAAGAAUAUUGAGAACUUUCGAUUAUAUCAAAAAGAAUUACAAACAAUGUUAAAAAAUAUAAAACAGUUUCAUGAAAAAUAUAAAUUAGACAUUCCUUUAUCAUUUAUUCUUGAAAAUAUUAUAAUAUUACAUUUAAUUAAUGAAUAUAAAAUAAAUAAUAUUGUUGAAAAAAUUAAAGAUCAUAAUAUUGCUAUGCCUGAUUUAAAUAGUGACCUACCCAAAUAUUUAAUACACGCGAUAGAUAAAGAAAAAGAAGAAAAUGAUGAAUAUAAUGAAUUAUAUGAUAAAGUAAAAGAAGGAAAUUCUUUAUCCAUUAACAAUUAUGCUGUCCAAAAUAUGUUAAAACAUACAGACAUAAAAAUUAAUUUAUCAAAACUAAAAUUUUCUAAUAAUGAAAAAUAUUUUUUAGAUGAGUUUAAAUAUACACCUGAUAGAUAUGUAAAAGAAACAAAUGAAUAUGUAAUGACAAAAACGGAAGAAAAGACAGAUAGCGAAACUGGGAAAGAUACAGACGCUACAACACAGGGGGUAGGUGUGGUAGACUUUACAAAUGAAACAAAAGACAAAUCGAUAGAGCAUGUAUACAAUACGAGUAAUGAAAAUGUGCAACAUACAGAGAAAAAACUAAACAAUAAUAAUAAUAAUAAUACAGCAAUACGUAAAACUGAAGAAAGAACAAACCUGAUUGAAAAUAUUGGUUUAUCAGAAGAGACAUUAAAAUUGCUCAACUUGUUACCAAAAAAAAGA
rnacentral:lncRNA from 1 species